GCGGCCGUAGUUUAGUUGGUUAGAAUGCCUGCCUGUCACGCAGGAGGUCGCGAGUUCGAGUCUCGUCGGCCGCGCCA
rnacentral:tRNA from 21 species